rnacentral:rRNA from 1 species
UACGUAGGGUGCGAGCGUUGUCCGGAAUUAUUGGGCGUAAAGGGCUCGUAGGCGGUUUGUCGCGUCGGGAGUGAAAACAUCGGGCUUAACUCGAUGCUUGCUUUCGAUACGGGCAGACUUGAGGUAUGCAGGGGAGAAUGGAAUUCCUGGUGUAGCGGUGAAAUGCGCAGAUAUCAGGAGGAACACCGGUGGCGAAGGCGGUUCUCUGGGCCUGUACUGACGCUGAGGAACGAAAGCGUGGGGAGCGAACAGG